UCUUGUUGAAGUUCUAUUAAGUUCUAAGUUCUAUUAAGUGUUCGUUGCUGAUGUUGAUGUUGUUAUAGUGUUUUCUCAGUUACCUUCCAAGAGGGAUCUCAGGCAACUUGACCUUCAAGUGGUGACGUGCAGGAGCCCAACUGGCUGCCGGCUCUGCCACCCUCACUGGUGGACAAGAACUGGUGGCACUGGAAGCAGGGACCCCAAGGGUCUGCUAGGCCACAGGCCACGUGCAGCAGGGUCUGGGGACAAGUGAACUCAGGAAUCGGAGUCAGGGAGCCUAGGCUGACCUUACUUCUUCAUCUGCAGGACGGAGAUUCUCCCAUGACCUUGAGAGGGUCUAGUGAGGAUCAGUGAGAGGACUGUCACGUGGUCAACACUGUACUUGAGUAUCUGCUUCUCCAUCUGUCAACAUAAAACCCUGCAGAGCCAUUGUGAGGACAAGAUGAUGUAUGGAAAGCUUCUAGAAGAUGCCACGUGCACACACCACAGCAGCACAGACGCCGUGCCUGGUGCUGUGGCAGCCAUCUUGGAACGACGAGGUAAGUUUCAUAAUGCAGGAAAGUCAUCCCAGUGAGGAUGCUGAACAGCCAGAACCACGGCCUCUGAGCUUCGAAACCAGACUUCCGGGCAAGUCAACCACAGAUGUCCUUCAAGUUUAAGCCGCCGUAAGUCUGAUAUUCUGUUUCUGAAAGCUGAACAUCUCCCCUCGGACACAAGACUGAUGUUUUUAUUAACAGUCUCCUUCUAAACCUCAUUUGUGGGUGAGUGGCAUGGAUUGAAUAGUUGCUAAAGUAUCUUCAUAAUAACAAGAAUGACAUUUAUUGAGUACUUAUGGUGCCAUGUGUUAUGUGUUUCACUCAGAUAAUCUCGAAUAAUCUUUGUAACCACUCAGAGAGUUCAGUUUUCUUACUGUUUCCAUUUUACAGAUGGUGGAACAGACACAUAGACGCAAGCAGCUUGCCCAAGGCCACACAGCUAGAAAGCAGUGUGGUCAGGCUGAGAUCCAGGCCCAGCAGGCACUGCCCACACCUGCUGCCUUCUCCUCUAACACUCCCCCAUUUGAUCACAAAGAAUAGUGUCCAGAAGGCCGUCCCUGACACCUACUGAGUCUGUCUGUGACAACUGGGGGGGCUCCAUGUCCAUCCCCCACACUCAAGGUCAACCCCCCACAUGGCUGGUCCAGCCCAGUGAGGGGGAAGGGAGAGAGGGGCUUACCUUGCCCAUGUUGAAGUAGAAGAGGGCCCCAGCCGUCACCUGGGCAAUGAGGAUCAGGAGCAGGAAGGCAAAGUACUGGGGACACAGAGCAGGCACAAAGUCAGCUGUGGGUCCCCGACCAGGUGCACCCAGCCCGCAUGCCUCGGGAGACGCUCUCCACCCGGCGUUACGGCCAGCGACGUGCUCAGGCUGCACUCGGCUGGAUGAGAGGAAAUGGGCAUCAGCUGCGGAGGGAUCCGUACUCACCAGCCCCAGCAGACAGCGGACCUCAUUGACGGCACCAAUGCAGCCCAGGAAGCCCAUGAGCAUGGUGACUGCCCCCACGCCGAUGAAGACGUAGGCCCCCAUCCUGAGCGAGCUGGAGGAGGUUUCUAGGGGGAAGAAGAAGCACACUCACUAAGUACAAAAUCAGUGGGCCCAGCAGGACCUGAGGUGCAUGAGGGCAGAAGCUUCGCUGUAUUCCCAGGAAACCCUCAGCUCGAACAGCGCCUCUGGCAGUGAGGUGCUGGGCACAGUGAGGAUCUGCGGAAUUGACAGACAAGGGGCUGGCUCCUUCUCCAGGGGCCACGGACGUUAAGAUUGUAAGCUGAUUUUUAACCCGCCUUCCUUCUUGUCCAUAUAAUAACAAACACCAGCCUUUCUUGCCCACUCACUGCGCCUUAGGGGGUUUCUACACGCCGUCUCCAAUUCUGACAUCACCCUGCCUGGCAGGCACUAGCAGGGCCCUUUCACAGAUGAGAAAACUGAGGCUCAGAAAGGCGCAUAGGCAAGGGCCUGAGCUGGAAUUUGAAAAUAUGCAAACCUCCAAUGCCACACCCUUUCCGCUCAUGCACAGGGCACAUGUAUUGCUACAGGUGUGAUGCAUGUUCAUUCAGCCAACAAAUGUUUACUGGGUGCCCACUUCAUGCCAGGCACCGUGCCAGUUGCUGGGGAUGCAGAAGAGUGACUAACAAGGUCUGACAUUUGGGGGUGGGGAGUGGAGACAAAAAGUACACAGUACAGGUUUUCUGGUUGUGUUGGUCGCCAUGAAGAUACCAAAGCUGACUCAUUGCAGAGAACUGCCAGUCGGGGAGAGGGUCGGAAUGGGUCGAGGAAGGCCAGCCUGAGCCAGUGACAUUUGAGCCAAGACGUGAAUGAAGAAGUCAGCCAAGCAAAGAUCUGUGGGAAAAGCAUUCCAGGAAGGGGGCACAGCAGGUGCAAAGGCCUGAGGAAGGAGGAGCUGGGUGUAUUUGAAGAUUGGAAAGAAGGCGAGAGAAUGGACCAGUGAGAGCAAGAAAGGAGCCCGGGAGGAAAUGACGCUUCGGAGGUGCAGGAAUGGGCCUGAUGGCUAAGACCUUCUUUAGAGUCACCUGUGGACAGGCCCAUUCCGGGAGGCGGAGGUCAGGAAUCCAGCAGGGGCACUUGGCCAACAUUUCCUAAGACACCCAACCCAUCACACAGGGUAAAGCUCAUGUCAUCUCUAGCUCACCAGCAUGGGUACGCUGUACCCCCAGCAGAGGACACACCUGGAGGGUGAAGAUGCUGGCAUCUCCAGAAGGCUGGAGAGCAGUGUGGAUCAGAGGAGCCUCUUAGGGAUGCAGAUGCUUGCGUCCGUUACAACCCGACCAAGAUGCUCCCAGCAGAAGGCCAAGGACCUGCGUUUUUAACCUGCGCCCCUAAGCACUGAGGCACAGCCAGGACCAACCCCUUGACUAUCAGCAGGGAGAAUACAGGCCUGGGGCUGGCCAUGACUCCCUGGGGAUCCUGGAGAGGCUGAGGUCCCCACCUUGGUCCCCAACAGGCGUUAUUGCCCUUAAGGAAUAACGAUCAAGCUGGAGGAUGGGAGGGAGUCUGUGGGAUUCAGCUCCGCUUCCUGAUUACAGACAGAAUGUUCUGGAGCUCAGGAAGAGCUCUGGCCAGCCCACCCUGCUCUCAGGCUUCCUCCACCCAGUUCCUCACAGGAGCCCCCCACCUUCCUCAGGGUGAGUGUGGGGACCUCCUGGCACUGAGCCCCAGCCACCAGCGUGCGCAGGGAGAGGCUGUCAAUUCCACUUUGCCUAAACUUCCUGGGUUUGGCUUCCAACAAUUUCUCCCAGUGACUACUCCCAGAAAAAAGAAACCGGCACUGCCCAGACAGCCACUGUGUGCCAGCCCCAAACAAGGCCCUUUAUCCAAAGCAUCCUGCCUAAUUUCACCAACCGCCCUCUGCGGCUGUACUCACAUCCUGAUUUGUCUGCAAGGACCCCGAGGCUCAGAGAGGCUAGCAGGCUGUAAGCUGCCUGGCAGGCAAGGCCCAGGGCUGAGACCCCAACUCAGAUCCUUUCCCUGGGAGACCAGACGAACUGCGAGGUCUCCGUAUCUCAGAACAUUUCACUGAUGCCUUUCCCUGUCCCCCCAGGAUCCCAGGCCUACCCCACAUCUGAGCAAGCUGACUUAGGAAGUAGGUGACGGUAUGUUCCGGGGUAGGCCAUCCACAGGGCAUGGCAAAAACAAAACAAAACAAAACACCUUUUAGUCUUCCUGGGCCUAGAAGGGACCAGGAAGGUAGAAAGGAGGUGGCCCAAACAGAAAGGGACGAGGGAUCAAGAAAAGUAGAUUCUAAUCCCAGCUCUGCUGCCAACACGCUCUGACCCUGGCAAGCCAUUUUCUAUUUCUUUCUCUGUAAAAUGGGUCUAAAGCCUGCUACUUGAAGAUGGCAAAAGGAUUAAAUUGUAUUAUAAAAUGUAGCUAACCAUCACGUAUGUAGGGUUUUUCACUGGUGCCUGUCCUAAACUCUUUUCAGAUAAAAACGAGAGGCUCAUUUAAUUUUCUCACAAUAACCACAGAAAGUCCUCAUUUUAUAGGUGAGGAGGCACAGAGAGGUGAAGCAAUGUGCUGAGGGUCACACAGCUAGUGGACAGCACAGCCGCGAAUCAAACCCCAGCAGUCAGGCUCGAGUCUGCUCUUCACUGCAGAGUGCUUCCUCUUACUAAGGACCAAAGCUCUUGGAGUUCGAGUCCCACACCCACCAUUUAGAAGCUGUGUGAACUUCAGCAAGGGACUUAACCUCUCUGAGCCUCUGUUUCUUCAUUGGUAAGGCGGGAAUAGAAACGUAUCUACCUCACAGGGCUGUGGUGGGAUUAAGACAGUUUAUCGGUACAAACUGCUUGGCACAUGAGGAGCAUGAUAAUUGGUGACUGUGCCUGGAACCUUCCUCAUCCGUGCACACACCUGACCCACCGAGCUGCUGCCGGGCUCAUAGCGAAGCACCACUCACAGCAGGUGCUUCAUCAGCCCCCGACUAUCUUCCUUACAUCUCUAUGAAAUGGGAGGGACUGUUGUCUACGUUCUGCUGGAUGGGCAAGUGAAGGAACAGAGAAUAUAAGAGGCUUUCCUAAGGUCAGGGCCAAGGAAAGGGGCCAGGAAGAGAAAACAAGCCUCCCUCAUCUCCAGUGUUCCCCCAGACAACAGCAGCUUUGUUUGGGGAAGAAGAGAAAAUUCCUUUUGGAAACCCUUGCAGAGAAGAGCCAUGGGCAGUGGUCGGCAGCAGGACUUGGCUACAUCCCUGAGGUCAGCAGGAAAAGCAACAGGCAUUGAAGCCGAAGCACUGAUGGGAACAGCUGUGCCUGCGCCCUGGCCCUCCCUUCUCCAGUGAGCCUGGUUCUGGGGAAGCUGAGGGGUUCUUACGCAGGACAGAGAUGAAACUGCUCUUGUCGGCCAGGAUCCACACCCCGAAGCCCAGAAUCACUGCGCCCAGGAUCUGGAAGGAGAAUGGAGCCGUUAAUGGGGAGCCAAGCCAAGAUGGGGUGAGAGCCCUCCCCCGCCAGCUGUCCCUGCAACCCAAGUCAGAGUGGGCAGGGCAGGGGGCCACAGAGGGUACCACCUCUACCCUUCUCCAGCCCAGGGAUGUCCAGAUGGCCUCAGGUCCCACACCGCAGCAAGCCAGACACCAGGACCCUGGGCAGGGAAUCCCUCCUACCUCCCAUCUUGCCCCGCUCCACCAUGUGUGAUUCAGCCGAGCCUCCUGGUGCAGCCUCUUGCCAGGGGCGCCCUUCCUGCCGCAUCUCCUGGCCCUUUUCUCAGCUCAUCCCCCCCACUCCACCCAGUUCAGGGCCUAGGAGCUUCCCAAAAAAGAAAAGCUCUAAGGAAGACCCUCCGUGGACUUGAACAUCAAAGCCCAACUCAUCCCCAGGUCUGAACAAUGGGGCCACCUGCCACAGGAGCCUUCUCUGACCCCCUCAGGCAAACUCAGGUGCCCCCAUUCUGCUGCAACCACUGUCCGGCCCUUCUUAGUCAUUCCCACUGGGUCUAACUACUGUGUUAGUUUAUCUGGUUAGACUGAGAGCUCCCUGAGGGCAGGGCUGGUUGGAGACAGCUCUGUAUCCUCAGCAGCUCUAUAGCACUGGGUGCUAAGCAGCUGGGGGAAUGAACGAGCUCAUGAACCAAACUGCAAAUGCAGGACUAGAAAGGAAAAUGAAGGUCAGGCGUGGUGGCUCACGCCUGUAAUCCCAACACUUUGUGAGGCCCAGGCAGGAGGAUCACUUGAGCCCAGGAGUUUGAGACCAGCCUGGGUAACAC